CACCCCGCUCUGCCUGUGGGACAAAAGCAGUAAAUGUCAAAAGCUGCCCUCCCAGUGGGACAUAAGGCGCUCUUUGUUAAGGGCCCAGCUUAUCUGUGAGCACUUUACAAUCUUAAGGCAACACGCCCACUCCUCCUGACUCUUUUUCUUGGGCCAGGUAAGCCUGAGCCUGAAGCCCUGGUGGAGUUAUCUGUUGAGAAGGUGGACUGUGUUUAAGGGGAGGGAAGGAUGCCUGGGGGGCGCAUGGCCAGGAGGUGAGCCAUUCCCUUUGAGGGACAGAACUCAAAAACUGCUUAGAGAUUGCAUCAGGGACUUCUCUACACUGGUGUUCCAGCCAAAACCCAAACUGCCCUUGACCACCUCUCUCACAGAAGUAAGAAAACAAAAAACCCUGAAAAGUAUGGACACCUGGAAAUGGAAGAGGAGAUGAGCUCAUCAGACAGGUGGACCCAUCUUGGCUGAGAGUCUUUUGUCAAGGUCAGCAUCCCUCUUUCCCCUCUUCUGUCCCCUUCAUUCUUCAAAAACCCUACAAGUGUUCACAGGUGCCAAUAGUUUUUUAUAGUGGCUCACCUAUCAGGGAGGACGGAGGAGGAAAGAACAGCCGUAGGUAAUGACAAUAGUAAUAGAUUUUUAUAUAAUAAUUUGCUUGUGUGAACCCAGGACUUCCUUAUUGUGAGUGGGAGCAAAGCAGUCAUAAUGAUGAAAAAUUAAUGUUAAAGCAUGCCUGAAGAUGUGAAUAUUCCAUAGCACUUGUAUUCUAUAUUCAUUUAGAAGAUUUGUAGAUUAUGGAGCUCUUUCCUAUUCUGUGUGAAACAGGGAACCAGGUGGAUUUGGGUCACUAAGUCUGAUUUCUAGAUAAUGUUUAUCCCAGA
rnacentral:lncRNA from 12 species